rnacentral:lncRNA from 1 species
AUCAGUUACAGGGAGCGUGGACAGUGACAACAGGGUAUACUUUACGGAGAAUCAAGCAGAAGCUGUACACAAUGGGCUAAUGGACACAUCUAUAUGAAGAGAGCUUAAAAAUAGUUCUGAGUGGAAGGAAAUCUAAAGCAAACUGUUGUUUAUGUAAAUUAAAAUCUAUGCACACAAAAUGAAAAUACAGUCUUUUCAAAACAUGGAUAAACACAAGUUUACAUCUAAACACAUUUGAAUGGUUCCUUUGCAGGAGUUUACUGGGAAAUGGGGAUCAAAGGAAAUAAAUAGACAAUGAGCAAAAGAGAGCUGUUUGAUGGACCUUUGAUGAGAGCAUUCCACCAACUCAGGAAAAUGAGAAACAGCAAUGGAGAGAAAAGAAGUAGCUAUUUUUCUUCUAGUGACAAAAGUGAUCUGGCUGCCUGAAAUUGUCAUCUUACUCCAGCUGUGAAGAAUGGAUGAAAGGACACAAAAGCAUGGUCAUGCUAGGGAACAGUCUGGCUCUGCAAUCAGUUUACUUCCA